CUUGGUCAUUUAGAGGAAGUAAAAGUCAUAACAAGGUUUCCGUAGGUGAACCUGCGGAAGGAUCAAUGGAGAUCGCCGAAAGGCAUCACACGCACAGUGCACCCUUGCAGACAUUUAGGUCGAGAACGUAUGCAUCUUAAAAUGAAACAACUUUCAACAACGGAUCUCUUGGCUCUCGCAUCGAUGAAGGACGCAGCGAAAUGCGAUAAGUAAUGUGAAUUGCAGUAUUCAGUGAAUCAUCGAACCUUUGAACGCACCUUGCGCCCCUUGGAAAUUCCGUCGGGCAUGCCUGUCUGAGUGUCAUGUGGACUUCGACCCCGAGGGUUAUCCCCCUGGGGCCGGACUUGGGCGCCGCCUCACCCGGCCCGCCUCAAAUGCAUCAGCGGGACGCGACGUCAUAAGCACCGUCCGUGUCCCGCCCACAGAACACCCAUCUUGUAACUCUGACCUCAGAUCAGGUAGGACUACCCGCUGAACUUAAGCAUAUCAAUAAGCGGAGGAA
rnacentral:rRNA from 1 species